rnacentral:rRNA from 1 species
UAUCUCUGUAGAGUCUGCAUAUCAAUAAGCGGAGGAAAAGAAACUAACUAAGGAUUCCCUCAGUAACGGCGAGUGAAGCGGGAAGAGCUCAAAUUUGAAAUCUUCAAGGUUCUACCUUGACGAAUUGUAGUUUAAAGAAGUGUUUUCUGUUGGAGUUUUGGUAAAAGUUCCUUGGAAUAGGACAUCAUAGAGGGUGAGUAUCCCGUAUUUGACCAUUAUUUCCAGCUUUGUGAUACACUUUCAAAGAGUCGGAUUGUUUGGGAAUGCAGUCCAAAAUGGGUGGUAAAUUUCAUCUAAAGCUAAAUAUUGGCGAGAGACCGAUAGCGAACAAGUACCGUGAGGGAAAGAUGAAAAGAACUUUGAAAAGAGAGUUAAACAGUACGUGAAAUUGUCAAAAGGGAAGCGUUUGACACCAGUGUUGUUUUCUCGAAAAUCAAUUAAAAAAGGCAGGAUUUUGUGUUGUAUUGACUUUAUCAGCUUUCUGCACUCUUUUCUUGUCUUUUUUAAUGCACUUUUCGUUUAACAAGUCAACAUCAAUUUCUUUUGUUGUAAAAGGGUCAUUGGAAGGUGGCUUUCUUUUCGGAGAAAGUGUUUAUAGCCUUUGCCUCUGCAAUCGAAGAGACUUGAGGUCUGCAGCGUAGAUCCUUCUGGAUUAGAUACACUUGUGCUAAGUUGUAGCUUUUCAUAGACAACUUGUUGACUAUGUUUAGUCAUGCGGCUUACUCGCUUAUGCUAUUUUACCUACGCUUAGGAUGUUGAUCUGUAGUGCGUGCGC